GAUGAACGCUGGCGGCGUGCCUAAUACAUGCAAGUCGAGCGAACAGACGAGGAGCUUGCUCCUCUGACGUUAGCGGCGGACGGGUGAGUAACACGUGGAUAACCUACCUAUAAGACUGGGAUAACUUCGGGAAACCGGAGCUAAUACCGGAUAAUAUAUUGAACCGCAUGGUUCAAUAGUGAAAGACGGUUUUGCUGUCACUUAUUGAUGGAUCCGCGCCGUAUUAGCUAGUUGGUAAGGUAACGGCUUACCAAGGCAACGAUGCGUAGCCGACCUGAGAGGGUGAUCGGCCACACUGGAACUGAGACACGGUCCAGACUCCUACGGGAGGCAGCAGUAGGGAAUCUUCCGCAAUGGGCGAAAGCCUGACGGAGCAACGCCGCGUGAGUGAUGAAGGUCUUCGGAUCGUAAAACUCUGUUAUUAGGGAAGAACAAAUGUGUAAGUAACUAUGCACGUCUUGACGGUACCUAAUCAGAAAGCCACGGCUAACUACGUG
rnacentral:rRNA from 1 species